CCUACGGGUGGCAGCAGUGAGGAAUAUUGGUCAAUGGGCGUAAGCCUGAACCAGCCAAGUCGCGUGAGGGAUGAAGGUUCUAUGGAUCGUAAACCUCUUUUAUAAGGGAAUAAAGUGCGGGACGUGUCCCGUUUUGUAUGUACCUUAUGAAUAAGGAUCGGCUAACUCCGUGCCAGCAGCCGCGGUAAUACGGAGGAUCCGAGCGUUAUCCGGAUUUAUUGGGUUUAAAGGGUGCGUAGGCGGCCUUUUAAGUCAGUGGGGAAAGUCUGUGGCUCAACCAUAGAAUUGCCGUUGAUACUGGGAGUCUUGAGUAUGUUUGAGGUAGGCGGAAUGCGUGGUGUAGCGGUGAAAUGCUUAGAUAUCACGCAGAACCCCGAUUGCGAAGGCAGCUUGCCAAGCUAUGACUGACGCUGAUGCACGAAAGCGUGGGGAUCAAACAGGAUUAGAUACCCGUGUAGUC
rnacentral:rRNA from 1 species